GAGCGAGUCUGCCUUGAAGAUCGGAGUGCUUGCACUCUGUGAAACAAGAUACAGGCUAGCGGCGGACGGGUGAGUAACACGUGGGUAACCUGCCCAAGAGAUCGGGAUAAACACCUGGAAAACAGAUGCUAAUACCGGAUAACAACAGAUGAUGCCUAUCAACUGUUUAAAAGAUGGUUCUGCUAUCACUCUUGGAUGGACCUGCGGUGCAUUAGCUAGUUGGUAGGGGUAAACGGGCCUACCAAGGCGAUGAUGCAUAGCCGAGUUGAGAGACUGAUCGGCCACAGUUGGGACUGAGACACGGACCCAAACUCCGUACGGGAGGCAGCAGGUAAGGGAAUCUUCCAACAAUGGACGCAAGUCUGAGUGGAGACAACGCCGCGUGAGUGAAGGUAAGGGUUUCGGCUACGUAAAGCUCUGUUGUUGGUGAAGAAGGACGAGGGGGUAGUAACUGACCUUUGUUUGACGGUAAUCAAUUAGAAAGUCACGGGCUAACUACGUGCCAGCAGCCGCGGUAAAU
rnacentral:rRNA from 1 species